rnacentral:rRNA from 1 species
ACUGUGUGUUGUUGGGUAGGGGAGCGUUCUGUAAGCCUGUGAAGGUGGCCUGUGAGGGUUGCUGGAGGUAUCAGAAGUGCGAAUGCUGACAUAAGUAACGAUAAAGCGGGUGAAAAGCCCGCUCGCCGGAAGACCAAGGGUUCCUGUCCAACGUUAAUCGGGGCAGGGUGAGUCGACCCCUAAGGCGAGGCCGAAAGGCGUAGUCGAUGGGAAACGGGUUAAUAUUCCCGUACUUGGUGUUACUGCGAAGGGGGGACGGAGAAGGCUAUGUUGGCCGGGCGACGGUUGUCCCGGUUUAAGCGUGUAGGUGUGUGUUCCAGGUAAAUCCGGUUCACUUUAACACUGAGGCGUGACGACGAGGCACUACGGUGCUGAAGCAACAAAUGCCCUGCUUCCAGGAAAAGCCUCUAAGCAUCAGGUAACAUCAAAUCGUACCCCAAACCGACACAGGUGGUCAGGUAGAGAAUACCAAGGCGCUUGAGAGAACUCGGGUGAAGGAACUAGGCAAAAUGGUGCCGUAACUUCGGGAGAAGGCACGCUGACACGUAGGUGAAGUGAUUUACUCAUGGAGCUGAAGUCAGUCGAAGAUACCAGCUGGCUGCAACUGUUUAUUAAAAACACAGCACUGUGCAAACACGAAAGUGGACGUAUACGGUGUGACGCCUGCCCGGUGCCGGAAGGUUAAUUGAUGGGGUCAGCGCAAGCGAAGCUCCUGAUCGAAGCCCCGGUAAACGGCGGCCGUAACUAUAACGGUCCUAAGGUAGCGAAAUUCCUUGUCGGGUAAGUUCCGACCUGCACGAAUGGCGUAAUGAUGGCCAGGCUGUCUCCACCCGAGACUCAGUGAAAUUGAACUCGCUGUGAAGAUGCAGUGUACCCGCGGCAAGACGGAAAGACCCCGUGAACCUUUACUAUAGCUUGACACUGAACAUUGAGCCUUGAUGUGUAGGAUAGGUGGGAGGCUUUGAAGUGUGGACGCCAGUCUGCAUGGAGCCGACCUUGAAAUACCACCCUUUAAUGUUUGAUGUUCUAACGUGGACCCGUAAUCCGGGUUGCGGACAGUGUCUGGUGGGUAGUUUGACUGGGGCGGUCUCCUCCUAAAGAGUAACGGAGGAGCACGAAGGUUGGCUAAUCCUGGUCGGACAUCAGGAGGUUAGUGCAAUGGCAUAAGCCAGCUUGACUGCGAGCGUGACGGCGCGAGCAGGUGCGAAAGCAGGUCAUAGUGAUCCGGUGGUUCUGAAUGGAAGGGCCAUCGCUCAACGGAUAAAAGGUACUCCGGGGAUAACAGGCUGAUACCGCCCAAGAGUUCAUAUCGACGGCGGUGUUUGGCACCUCGAUGUCGGCUCAUCACAUCCUGGGGCUGAAGUAGGUCCCAAGGGUAUGGCUGUUCGCCAUUUAAAGUGGUACGCGAGCUGGGUUUAGAACGUCGUGAGACAGUUCGGUCCCUAUCUGCCGUGGGCGCUGGAGAACUGAGGGGGGCUGCUCCUAGUACGAGAGGACCGGAGUGGACGCAUCACUGGUGUUCGGGUUGUCAUGCCAAUGGCACUGCCCGGUAGCUAAAUGCGGAAGAGAUAAGUGCUGAAAGCAUCUAAGCACGAAACUUGCCCCGA